rnacentral:rRNA from 1 species
GACGAACGCUGGCGGCGUGCUUAACACAUGCAAGUCGAACGGAAAGGCCCUGCUUUUGUGGGGUGCUCGAGUGGCGAACGGGUGAGUAACACGUGAGUAACCUGCCCUUGACUUUGGGAUAACUUCAGGAAACUGGGGCUAAUACCGGAUAGGAGCUCCUGCUGCAUGGUGGGGGUUGGAAAGUUUCGGCGGUUGGGGAUGGACUCGCGGCUUAUCAGCUUGUUGGUGGGGUAGUGGCUUACCAAGGCUUUGACGGGUAGCCGGCCUGGGAGGGUGACCGGCCACAUUGGGACUAAGAUACGGCCCAGACGCCUACGGGAGGCAGCAGUGGGGAAUAUUGCACAAUGGGCGGAAGCCUGAGGCAGCAACGCCGCGUGCGGGAUGACGGCCUUCGGGUGGUAAACCGCUUUCGCCUGUGACGAAGCGUGAGUGACGGUAAUUGGUAAAGAAGCACCGGCUAACUACGUG